rnacentral:rRNA from 1 species
UACGUAGGGUGCAAGCGUUGUCCGGAAUUAUUGGGCGUAAAGCGCUCGUAGGCGGUCUGUCGCGUCGGCUGUGAAAACCCGGGGCUCAACCCCGGGCCUGCAGUCGAUACGGGCAGACUAGAGUGCGGUAGGGGAGACUGGAAUUCCUGGUGUAGCGGUGAAAUGCGCAGAUAUCAGGAGGAACACCGGUGGCGAAGGCGGGUCUCUGGGCCGUAACUGACGCUGAGGAGCGAAAGCGUGGGGAGCGAACAGG